UGAGCCGAAGUCAGAUGCUCAACUGACUGAGCCACUCAGGUGCCCCUAAGUGUGUUAUUUUUAAUGUAAAAUGAUUAACUCCAUAUGUGUUUGUUUUCUAAUCUGUUACCAUAUAUAGACAUCUGAAUGAAAAUAAAACUUCUGUGCUUAUGAAUAUUUAUUUUAUUCUAAGACCUUUUUAAAAAUUUCCAGUGUUUGCUUAUAUUUGUAUGUUAUGUGAUAAUCAGAAACAAAAGUCAAAAAUGUUCAACUCAGUAGCCAAUAAUAAAUUAUGAACAUUUUUUGGAAGAAAAUUAACCUAUAAAUUAAGGUAUAAAUCAGUAUUUUUUUGAACAGCAGUUUGGCCAUAAUAAUUGAAAUUCAAACAUUUGAAAUGGUGUUACUUGCUGCUGGGAAUUUAUUCCACAUCUCAAAUUUAUACUGAAGUAUGUUAUACAUUGAGUAUAAAUAAUAGUUGAGCAUCUGAAAUAUACCUCAACAAAAGAUCAUAAUGGUUGUAGCUUAUUCAUCAUAUGAAUAUAAUUUAGACACUGGAACAUGGUCUGAUAAGGGUGUUUUGUGUGGAUAUUUAAAAUUAUGCCAGUUUUUGAACAAACAUCAACUAAUAGUGUGUUUACAGAGGUUUGACCAUAUGCCUUGUUCUAAUUGGAAAUGUCAAUCAUUACUGUUCCUGAGGAAUGUAAUUAUUCUGACAUGAUUAUAGAGUUAAGUAAUGCUGACUGAUCAGUGUUAUAAUGAAUAUUUUAGCAUUCUUAAAAAUUUUGUACGUGUACAUUAAGUAGUAAAAUACUGUCUUAUUAUUUGUAUAUUGCUACUUGACAAUCUGAAAUGAACAUACUAAUUGUUAGAAAGGUGUCUGGAAGAAUGGAUGGCAAAAUUUUAACAUUACUGUAUAGAGAGAUGGGAAUGGAGGACUGCUUCUACUUCCUGCAUUUUGAAUUUUAAAGGUAUUUCAAAAAGAACAUCUAAACAGCAAAAAGGGGAUUUUAAAGAUACACCCAAUUUAUGCCUGCCUUUCAUCCUUGCCUAUCAAUAUCUGGCAAGUAUUGGGCUGUUGUAUCCAAUUUUGUAUUCCCAGUGGCCAUUAUGAAUUGUUUGUGAGUGAUCAUGAAGAGCAUGUGGUUUAGAGACUCUAGUGAAGCAGAGAGUUUUACACACUGAAACAGCAUUGUGGGACUCCAGAAAUGAACACGGGAGAAGAUAGGAUUUCAGAUGAACACAAUGAAAGGAAGAGAUUUACAGAUAAUCUGAGGACAGCUGACAUUCCUAUGGUCUUUCUUAAUUCAUAAGUCUUAACUGGGAACUACAGGAGAUGAUAAUUAUAAGAAAACACACUUUUGCCAUCUUUGUUUGUAAUUGCAAGAAUCAGUACCAUAAGACCUCUGUUGGCAAUAUUACUCAUUUGAGUAUUCGUCACCUCCCAUCUUUGGCUUCGGGAAUACUGCUUGGCAAAAUGAUUGUGAUGCCCAAAUAGGAAACUGAUGUUACUGCUUCUGACACCAUCUUCAAAUCCAAAAACGGUCUUUAUAACAUAUGGCGACUCCUCCUUUCAUGUGUUGGAGUAGACACUCCUCCAGAAAAACUGGACUGAGAAAGCCCUUGUUUGAAAGUUACCUAAAGAUUAUCAUUGGAGGGAAUUGUAACCAGGCAUGUUGACUGUUUUCAUUAUUGACAUUGGACUAAAUGUCGGGAGCUUGAAUGAUGGAGAUGCUAUUACACAGAGAAGCUCAGGAUGAUAUGAUUGCAAGGCUUCAUUUCAAUGUUCCCAUAAGUAUUAAGUGCACAUAUUUAUAAUUUUCACUUUUAACAGGGUAAAUUUAAAAUAGAUGCAGAAAAAUAAAUUAUCUUUUUUCCAGAUUUGAAAGGACACAGAAAGUUGUAAAGGGUAGUAUUUUUACUUUUUAAAUGCUUUUUCCUCCCUCCUAAUUCUACUCCCCAAUAUUAUCUGCUGUUAAGGAGUUUUAUGUAUAUCCUUUUGGGGCGUAUCGAUAAACAAAUUGAUAAUGCCAGUAGUCAUUUGGGCCCAUACAUUAGCUACAAAUUUUCUCUUCAGUGAACAUGCUUAUAUGUAAUCUAUUUUUUAACUUCUCCAGCUAAGUUGUUGAAAUAGUCCUACUACUUCCACUUCAUUGGAAUUAAGUAUUAACUCAAAAUUUACGUUUUGAGUUAAAAGUAGAGAUUUCCCCAGAAUUGUGUAAAUUAUCCUCAUCAAUAUUGUCUCCCAGUGUUUGUUUAUGAGACUUCUUUUUUCUAAAACAGUACAAACAUUGGAUGUCAAUGUUUUAAUCUUUGAUAGUGUGAUACUACAAAGAAAGUAUUUUUCUUCAGUUAUUGUUCACUUCAGUCAUCUUCAUACGUCCUUAAACUGUACUAGUCAUUUGUUAUUCUGUGUUUUGUGUUAUUUUGUUUUUUGUUUUUUGUUUUUUUUCAUUUCCCUUGGAAUACUAGUGUCUUUGUUACUGGCUUUUAAAAGAUCUUUUAUGACUAACAUUUUAACCAUUUACCAUGCUUUGCAAAUGAAAUACCAUGUUUUUUCACCAUUUUACUGUGAUAUUUUACUUUUUGGUGUACAGAAGUUGUAUAUUGAAAUAUAACAAUAUUGUGUUUCAUGCC